CCGCCUCUCCCCCCCCCCCUACCGGGGCGAGCACGCCCUGCUGGCCGCCGGCGGCCUGCUCGGUCGUCGGUGAGUACGCGCAGCGGCCCGAAGAGGCGCGUGCUCGCUCCAAGGGCGAGGGGGGAGGCGCCGGAUCUCGCGGGGCAAGUGCGCCAGCGACCUGAGGUAUCUUGGUGUAGAAUGAAGUGAAGAGGGCAGAGUAUCUUGGUCUUAUUAAUCAAUGCAUCAUAUUAUGUGCGCAAUAAGAUUUUGCUAUGCUUUCACCGUCGAUGCCCACUGGUUGGAUCAUGCUUCUGUUUAUGAGCUCAUUGAAGUAACUCUCUCGUAGCUCAAAUGGGCCAAUUUCUCGUUUGCGUGGCACACAAAACCUUCAGCUAUCCAUCUCCAUAUCAGUUGGUCUCUCUUAAAUUUGUAAUCUUCUGGAAAUAUGCUUAAGUAUAAUAAAUGAUGCGAAGGUAGAUCAUAGAACAUGAACACAUGGUGUAAAAGAGGCACUCAUGCACCAAAACUAUAAAAAGCAGCAAAGAAAAUGAGUAAAAGAGGCACUUGACUUGUAGAUUAUACAAGAGUGAUGAUCUGGAAGUCAACCCUCUUUUAUCAGUAGUUUUGAUCUACCUUCUCAUCUAUAGGAUUAGUUAUUAUGUCUAAGCAUGUUUUUAGAAGAUUAGAAGAUUAAGCAAGCUCAUUCGAUAUGUAAGGUGGAUAGUUUGAGGUUUUGUUUAUCAUGAAAAACAAGGGAUUAGCAAGUUUGAGCUCGGUGGUAGAAUUGCUCAAUGAGAUCGUGAAUAGGAGCAUGAUUCAACCAAUUGACAUCAAUGUUGACAAAGGCAUGGAAAAAUCUUAUCGUAUACAUGAUAUGGUGAUUGAUUUCAUGUGCUGAAGAAAAACACUUGUGGCACUGAGUGAAAGCGGUCUAUCCAAAGGCAAGAUUUGAAGAUUAUCCACCCGAAAGAGCACUACAGGUAAAAUGAUAUGGAUGAGUACAGUACCAAUGUCUUCAGCUGUUAUUUUCUUUCUGACUGCUAUCAGUAGCAGGAUCACAAGUGAGGGCGUGCAAUGCCCGUGCUGAAUCUACUUGUUGAGCCGUUUGAAGAUAUUGGUCCUGCAUGCUUCCAUUUUUGCCAAUCGAGGCGGUAUGAGAGGCUGAGGCUCUAGAGCACUGCAUUUGCCCUGUUUUGAUUUGUCUUUCUUCUGUAGUAGAGACAUGAAGUUCUACUUGAGAUUGUAAGGAACUUGCAGUCAGUCAAGUUUAUAGUACAAUUUGUUCAAACAG
rnacentral:rRNA from 1 species